CCUACGGGUGGCAGCAGUGGGGGAUAUUGCACAAUGGAGGGAACUCUGAUGCAGCGACGCCGCGUGAGGGAAGAAGGUUUUCGGAUUGUAAACCUCCGUUUUCGGUGACGAAACGAGACGGUAGCCGAGGAGGAAGCCACGGCUAACUACGUACCAGCAGCCGCGGUAAUACGGAGGUGGCAAGCGUUGUCCGGAAUUACUGGGUGUAAAGGGAGCGUAGGCGGGAAAGCAAGUUGAAUGUUUAAGGUACGGGCUCAACCUGUACAAGCGUUCAAAACUGGUUUUCUUGAGUGGAGGAGAGGUAAGCGGAAUGCGUGGUGUAGCGGUGAAAUGCGUAAAUAUUAGGAGGAACACCGGUGGCGAAGGCAGCUUACUGGGCUUUAACUGACGCUGAGGCACGAAAGCGUGGGUAGCGAACAGGAUUAGAUACCCGUGUAGUC
rnacentral:rRNA from 1 species